GACGAACGCUGGCGGCGUGCCUAAUACAUGCAAGUAGAACGCAGUUGCGAACGGGUGAGUAACGCGUUGGUAACUGCCUGGUAGCGGGGGCUAACUCUUGUAAACGCUACCUAAUACCGCCUACUACCAGAUGGACCUGCGUUGUAUUAGCUAGUUGGUGGGGUAACGGCUCACCAAGGCAACGAUUCAUAGCCGAACUUGGAGGGGGAUCGGCCACAAUGGGACUGGGAAACGGCCCAGACUCCCAACGGAGGCAGCAGUAGGGAAGCUUUGGCAAAGGGGGGAACGCUGACCGAGCAAAGCCGGGGGAGUGAAGAAGGUUUUCGGAUCGUAAAGCUCUGUUGUUAAGGAAGCGGUACUUAAACAGAAAGGGACGGCUAACUACGUGCCAGCCGCCGCGGUAAUAC
rnacentral:rRNA from 1 species